rnacentral:rRNA from 1 species
UACGUAGGGGGCAAGCGUUGUCCGGAAUCAUUGGGCGUAAAGAGCGUGUAGGCGGCUCGGUAAGUCCGCUCUGAAAGCCCGGGGCUCAACCCCGGGAGGCGGGCGGAUACUGUCGGGCUAGAGUCCGGAAGAGGCGAGUGGAAUUCCUGGUGUAGCGGGUGAAAUGCGCAGAUAUCAGGAGGAACACCAAUGGCGAAGGCAGCUCGCUGGGACGGUACUGACGCUGAGACGCGAAAGCGUGGGGAGCAAACAGG